GUCUAGCGGUGAGGAUUUUACUUCAGCUUCUAACGCCAGUUCUGCUUCAGAAUUUGAUGAUCGAUAAAGCUGUUACAAAUAAUCUGAGCUUUAG